rnacentral:rRNA from 1 species
GACGAACCGAGCGAACGUUGUUCGGAAUCACUGGGCUUAAAGGGCGCGUAGGCGGGCUGCCAAGUUUGGGUGGAAAUCCUCCGGCUCAACCGGAGCAGUGCCUCGAAUACUGGCGGUCUCGAGGGAGGUAGGGGCGUGCGGAACUGUGGGUGGAGCGGUGAAAUGCGUUGAUAUCCACAGGAACUCCGGUGGCGAAGGCGGCACGCUGGACCUUUUCUGACGCUGAGGCGCGAAAGCCAGGGGAGCGAACAGG